rnacentral:rRNA from 1 species
CGUGCAGGCGGUUCGGUAAGUUGGGCGUGAAAUCUCCCGGCUCAACUGGGAGAGGUCGUCCAGUACUACCGGACUCGAGAGCAGUAGAGGAAGACGGAAUUCCCGGUGUAGUGGUGAAAUGCGUAGAUAUCGGGAGGAACACCAGUGGCGAAGGCGGUCUUCUGGACUGUUUCUGACGCUCAGACGCGAAAGCUAGGGUAGUAAACGGGAUUAGAGACCCCGGUAAUCCUAGCCGUAAACGAUGUGAACUUGGCGUCGGUGGCUUAAACACCAUCGGUGCCGCAGCUAACGCGAUAAGUUCACCGCCUGGGGACUACGAUCGCAAGAUUAAA